CUGUGGGGACGCAGAAGGAGAGCACGAGCCGGAAAUGGAAAAGCCGGUACAAGCGUAUAGCAGUCAUGCAGGCAAAACCGCAUGAAAAAUGUAAAGCGUUAUGUGGAUCGAACAUUAGUAGAGAAGCGUGUGAGCCAGCUGCCAAGAAAAGCCGCUAUUGUUUCAUAAGUACCCGUACCGUAAACCGACACAGGUGGAUGAGGAGAGAAUCCUAAGGCCGGCGGGAGAAGUGUUGUUAAGGAACUCGGCAAAAUGACUCCGUAACUUCGGGAGAAGGAGUGCCACAGAGAUGUGGCCGCAGAGAAAUGGCCCAAGCAACUGUUUAGCAAAAACACAGGUCUAUGCAAAACCGAAAGGUGAGGUAUAUGGGCUGACGCCUGCCCGGUGCUGGAAGGUUAAGAGGAGAGGUUAGAGCAAUCGAAGCUUUGAAUUUAAGCCCCAGUAAACGGCGGCCGUAACUAUAACGGUCCUAAGGUAGCGAAAUUCCUUGUCGGGUAAGUUCCGACCCGCACGAAAGGCGUAAUGAUUUGGGCACUGUCUCAACAACACACCCGGUGAAAUUGAAAUACCAGUGAAGAUGCUGGUUACCUGCGCCAGGACGGAAAGACCCCAUGGAGCUUUACUCCAGUUUGAUACUGGGAUUCGGUACUGUCUGUACAGGAUAGGUGGGAGGCUAGGAAAUGGUGACGCCAGUUGCCAUGGAGCCAACCUUGGGAUACCACCCUUACAGUACUGGGUUUCUAACCUGCAGCCGUAACCCGGCUGGGGGACAAUGUCUGACGGGGAGUUUGACUGGGGCGGUCGCCUCCGAAAGAGUAUCGGAGGCGCUCAAAGGUUCCCUCAGAACGGUUGGAAACCGUUCGAAGAGUGCAAAGCAGAAGGGAGCUUGACUGCGACACCGACGGGUGGAGCAGAUACGAAAGUAGGACUUAGUGAUCCGGUGGUAUAAAGUGGGAUUGCCGUCGCUCAACGGAUAAAAGCUACCCUGGGAUAACAGGCUUAUCACUCCCAAGAGUUCACAUCGACGGAGUGGUUUGGCACCUCGAUGUCGGCUCAUCGCAUCCUGGAGCUGUAGCAGGUUCCAAGGGUUGGGCUGUUCGCCCAUUAAAGCGGUACGCGAGCUGGGUUCAGAACGUCGUGAGACAGUUCGGUCCCUAUCCGGCGUGGGCGUAGGAUAUUUGAGAGGAGCUGUCCUUAGUACGAGAGGACCGGGAUGGACAAACCUCUGGUGUAUCUGUUGUUUUACCAAAGGCAUGGCAGAGUAGCCAAGUUUGGCAGGGAUAAACGCUGAAGGCAUCUAAGCGUGAAGCCCCCCUCAAGAUAAGAUAUCCCAUCUUCGGAGUAAGACCCCUUGAAGACUACAAGGUUGAUAGGCUUCAGGUGUAAGUGUGGUAACGCACUCAGCUGAGAAGUACUAAUAGGUCGAGGACUUAUCU
rnacentral:rRNA from 1 species